rnacentral:hammerhead_ribozyme from 1 species
AUCCAGCUGACGAGUCCCAAAUAGGGCGAAACGCAUGUUCUGAAU